rnacentral:rRNA from 1 species
GCAGUGGAGCAUGUGGUUUAAUUCGAUGCAACGCGAAGAACCUUACCCAGGCUUGACAUGCAGAUGACCGCUCUAGAAAUAGAGUUUCCUUCGGGACAUUUGCACAGGUGCUGCAUGGCUGUCGUCAGCUCGUGCCGUGAGGUGUUGGGUUAAGUCCCGCAACGAGCGCAACCCUUAUCAUUUAGUUGCCAACAGGUGAAGCUGGGAACUCUAAUGAGACUGCCUGGGUUAACCAGGAGGAAGGUGAGGAUGACGUCAAGUCCGCAUGGCCCUUAUGUCUGGGGCUACACACGUGCUACAAUGGUCGGUACAGAAGGCAGCGAAACCGCGAGGUGAAGCAAAUCCAACAAAGCCGAUCUCAGUUCAGAUUGUAGUCUGCAACUCGACUACAUGAAGACGGAAUUGCUAGUAAUGGCGAGUCAGCAACAUCGCCGUGAAUACGUUCCCGGGUCUU